UACGGGGGGGCAAGCGUUGUUCGGAUUUACUGGGCGUAAAGAGCUCGUAGGUGGUUUGUCGCGUUGUCCGUGAAAACUCACAGCUCAACUGUGGGCGUGCGGGCGAUACGGGCAGACUGGAGUACUGCAGGGGAGACUGGAAUUCCUGGUGUAGCGGUGGAAUGCGCAGAUAUCAGGAGGAACACCGGUGGCGAAGGCGGGUCUCUGGGCAGUAACUGACGCUGAGGAGCGAAAGCGUGGGGAGCGAACAGG
rnacentral:rRNA from 1 species